GGCGGCGUGAGCGGCGCCGCCCGCCAUCUUGGAGCUCGAGUGGCGCGCGGGAGAAUGAUGGAAAUCCUUCCUGACUUAAAGCCUCCACAACUUUCUUUUGAAGAGGUAUUGAUAUUCUUAAAAACUGAGGAGUCCAGCUGCAAACAACAGUCAGGAAAAGGGCAUCGGUCCAUUAAAUGAUAAGAGGCUGUCUUUGAAGGGAUUGUAAUGGCAGGUAUAGUUCUGCCAAGUAGAAAUGAUUCUGGAGACGCUGCAGAAGGUGGAGGCUUUCCUGUGAUGAACCUGGAGGCAGUCUGGAGGGGUUAGGUAAAACCAGGCUGCAGCCAUUGCAAAAGGAUCUUCUGAAAAAGAUCUGCAAGAUGGAUUUGUCAUUGAAUUUAUAGCUACAUGGAUGCGUGUGUACCUGUCAUUAAAUUUGCAUUAGUUCAACUAUAUAUAUCUAAUAUAUAUAAAAUAAGUAUCACUAUUACUUGUAAGUAAGCUUGCUUUAAAAGAACAUUUUGAAAUAAUAUAUGGUUAAUGAUAUGAAUUCCUAGGAAUCUACUAUAGAGGAGAUGGCUCAAAGUCAAGAGAAUUUGUUCAGUGAAACCAAAGGACAUGGGAGUGCCUGGAGCAUCCCAGUGAUGGGCAAAUAACGUACCACCAGAUAGGGGGAAUAUCCAUCAGGCUUGUCCUGCUGCUACCACUUUCCUAACAAAUACUGAAUAGCUAUCAAGCUUCAAUGGCUUUUGAAAACUGGCUAUGUUACUGAAAGUAUUCUCUUGACCUCUGGAGUAUGUUAUUACAAAAAGAAGGGCAUAAUUGACUUAUUGAAUCCACAAUUAUUUGUUCUUGCUGUUGUCCCAUAACAGCAUGGAUUAUAAACCUUAUGUCCUAGUCAGGCAGGCAAAACUGUUACCUUAGUCCUGCUGUUUAAUUAGUGUUUACAAUUGGACGUUGUUUAUAUACCAAUAAAUGUUGCCUGAAUGAAGACUUCCCCUUAACCAAUUAUACCAGAUGUUUCUCUGUGAAGGUCCUAAUUAAACAGCAUCUCUUCUUCUGUUUGCUUUAAUCCUGCCUCUUGUGUGGAUCUCUGUCAGAGUGCAUCACUACACUGGGACACUUUACCCACA